GAGCUGUGGAGAAAGCCAAGCA
rnacentral:siRNA from 1 species